GGGACCGUAGCUCAGCAUGGUUAGAGCGUUCGAGCCGUAAACCGAAAGGUCGUGGGUUCGAAUCCCACCGGUCCCA
rnacentral:tRNA from 1 species